AGAUCAGAUUUUGAGAGACUCUCUUUCUCCUCACUUUCUCUCUCAUCCGUUUUUCUCUCUCCAGAAUUAGUUUUACGAUUAAAAUUCGGUGGAUCAUAACUUUUGAUUUGUAACUCCGAUUUUAAAUCCGCGAAAGGCUACGGGUUUGUCUCGAUGUUCUCUUCCUAUCUUAGAGGUUUGAGCUAGAUCCAACGGUGAUUCUAGAUGACUGGUUUUAGGAGGCUCGGUUUACGAUCGGUACACGUGGUGGGAUCUCGAUACUAUCGAGAGAAGUACUUAGAUUUGACCGAGCCGGGAAAGGGUAGCCGACGAGCCUAGAAGAUAGUGUUUUUGUUUAUUUCUGCUUUGUAACACUCGUUUACGCUUCGGGAUCGGCUUCCGGCGCUUAAAACCCGCCAACGCCGGGACCGGGGUGUGACAGACAUUUUCAAUUCAUCAAGCUUCUCAACAAAGGAUUUGGAUUCAGACCAAAUAUCAUCCAAAACCAACAGCAAAAGAUUUGUGUGCUUUACAAAUUCUCGCAGCCAGUUGACUGCAUUUACUUCAGUUUGGAAAUCAGUUUUCCCGCACCCCCUGGAGCAGUGAGCAUAAGCAUUGAUACUCCAUAUCCUUAAGAAACUUUAGCUUCAAUUCUUUCGAAGGCCUGCUUGUCCAUUAAAAGUUGUUGCCAUGACGUUUCGUGGUGUAAAAACCAGUUAGUGGGGCAUGGUUUUGGCCACCUAAAGAUUUUGGAUUAUUAAAGCAUAGCAAAGGGAAUGCUCCAGCCUUAUGAGCAUUGGCUUUCCAUUGAAGUGGUCUAUGAAGUUGAGGAACCAAGACUAGAAUCAUGGGAAAAGAGUUCAUAAUUGCAAACUUGCUAUUAGUCUAGAGAAAAUUUAGGCGGCUGAUAGAGUCAACCUAGCUUUGCACUAGAAACUUGCUGAUAAUACACUUACACGUCUUCUGUGAAUUGAGGCUUGUUAAAGUUUUGAUGUUUAAAAUAUUGGUGUUGCAUUGUUGCUUA